AGCUGGCUGGUUCCAUGAGGUGACUUCUGCCCAGUGCUCUGAUUGUCAUGGCGAAGAGAUUCAGCCAAGCGCGGGUAAACGGCGGGAGUAACUAUGACUCUCUUAAGGUAGCCAAAUGCCUCGUCAACCAAUUAUUGACGCGCAUGAAUGGAUCAACGAGAUUCCUGCUGUCCCUAGGUGCUGUCCGGUGAACCAACAGCCAAGGGAACGGGCUUGGGCGUGUCAGCGGGGAAAGAAGACCCUGUUGAGUUUGACUCUAGUUUGAUGCUGUGCAGCGACAUGUCGGGUGUAGCACAGGUGGGAGGCCAGUGCCAGAGCGCCAACCACCCCUUGGCAAGCUCGAAGCCCCUUGGCGGGGGGGGCGUGCUACAACAAGCGGCUCUUCUGUGUUUUGAUGUCGGCUCAUCCACUUCCCAGGGAUAACUGGCAGGGACGACGUGCGCCCCCCAUUUUGCACACCGGGCGGCACGAGCCAGCAGUGAAAUACCACUACCUUCACCGUCGCUUUACUCAUCGAGUGGCUUGGGAACAGUGGCCAUUGGACAAUCGGCCCCUGCAUUGCCUGUGGGGGUCGCGGCCUCUACCUGCUUCGUGCGUCAAGCGCUCCCGUCUCGGCGGGGGCGUGACCCUGGGGUGUUCACAUCCCAGCCAGGAAUAUCGGUGCCUCGGGACAAUGAUCAGUUGGGGAGUUUGGCUGGGGCGGCACGCCUGUUACAGGACAACGCAGGCGUCCUGAAGCAUUGCUCAGAUGGAACAGAAAUCCUGCAUGGAGGAGCAGGCCAAAGGUGCUGCUGAUGCGGCGACUCUCAGUGCGAGUCCAAAACGUGCAAGUGUGGCCUUGCGAUCCUUUGGCCAAGUGCGCGGGUUCUGGAUAUUGAAGCCAGAGGUGUCAGAAAAAUUACCACAGGGAUAACUGGCUUGUGGCUGCCAAGCGUUCAAAGCGACGUCGCUUUUUGAUCCUUCGAUGUCGGCUCUUCCUAGCUUCCCACCCGCAGCCGAGUGGAAGAGUUGGAUUGUUCACCCACCAACAGGGAA
rnacentral:rRNA from 1 species